rnacentral:lncRNA from 1 species
UUUUGGGGGGGGUAUUUGGGGGAAUUUGGGGGAUUUGGGGGGGUUUAGGGCAUUUUGGAUGGGAUUUUUGGGGUGAAUUUGGGGAAUUUGGGUUUUUUUUGGGGGGGUAUUUUUGGGAAUUGGGGUUUUUGGGGGGGGUAUUUGGGGUGAAUUUGGGUUUUUGGGGGGGAUUUGGGGAUUUUAGGGGAUUUGGGGGGGACUUUAGGGGAUUUCGGGCGUUUUGGAUGGGUUUUGGGGGGGAAAUUUGGGGGAUUUGGGGCAAUUUUGGGGCAUCCUGAAGUGUUUUAGGGUCAAUUUUGAGGAGCUUUGAGGGAUUUCGGUCCAUUUUGGGGCUUUCUGAGGUGAUUUAGGGGACGAUUUUGAAGGAUUUUGGUCAAUUUGGGACAUCCUGAAGUGUUUUACGGUCAAUUUUGAGGAGAUUUGAGGAAUUUUCGUCAAUUUUGGGCACUCUGAAGUGUUUUGGGGUGGGUUUUUGAGGGGAAAUAUGCGAGAUUUGGGUUAAUUCUGGGCAUUCUGAGGUGUUUUAUGGGAUAAAUUUGAGGAAAUUUGUGGGAUUUGGGUCCAUUUCGGGGCAUCCUGAAGUGUUUUGGGGUCAAUUUUGAGGAGUUUUGAAGCAUUUGGUCAAUUUUGGGUCAUUCUGAGGCGUUUUGUGGGAUAAAUUUGAGGAAAUUUGUGGGAUUUGGGUCCAUUUCGGGGCAUCCUGAAGUGUUGUAGGGUCAAUUUUGAGGAGAUUUGAGGGAUUUUGGCCAACCUCGGGGUCGAUUUCUGUGGAAAUCAUACAGAUUUUGGACAAUUUCUGUGCAUCCCGAAGACUUCCAGCGCCCAUUUUGAUGGAAAUCGGACAAUUCUGGAUUUUUUUCUGAGGGAUUUUUAUGUAUUUUGAACCAUUUUUCAGCCCCCCCGUGCCUUUUAGAGACCCAUUUUAUACCUUCCAUGCAUCCCUACCCCCAUUUUGGGUCCAAUCCCCGCAAUUUUAGUCCACUUCACCCCCCCCCCCCCUUUUCCCCACUCAAUUUUUGGGUCCAUUUCCCCACUUUCCCCCACUUCCCCCCCACCCUCCGCUUCACCACACCCCAAAGAACCCCCAAACCCCCGACUUUCCCCACAAAAACCCCCAAAAUCUCCUGAAAUCACCCCGAAACAACGCACCGUAUCGGAGCGGCUGCGGCCGGCGCUGCUUCAACCGCGGCAUUGACGGAGCCCCGGAUGGGGCCCCUCACAGCGACCCGCCCCGAUUCCUCCUUUUCUUUUCUUUUUUUUUCUCUUUUCCCUCAAAAAGUCCUUUAUUUCCCCCUCUUUUUUUUUUUUUCCUUUUCUUUCCUUUUUUUUUUUACCCUUUCUUUUGUUUCUUUUAACCCCUUCCUUCCCUUCCCCCCCCCCCCCCCCCCCCCUUCUUCCCCCCGUAGGCCUCAACGGCAGCACGGUUGCUAAGGAAAAUGGCGCCGUUGCUAAGGGCCUACACGCCGUUGCUAAGCGGCGCAGCCAAUCAGAGCGCGUUGCCGGGCAGAUCCCACCCCCAUAGCAACACUACGGUGGCCCACAGAGGUCAAAAGACGCCAAAACGCGAACGGUCCUUUUUUUUCCCUAUCAGGCACUUAAUUAAAUCGCCUUAAUUAAUUGCAUCGGUUUUAAUGAGGCGAUUCAGUCCCCUUUUGCCCACUUUUCUCCCCAAAUCUCCGCCAUUUUGGGGCCAUUUGUUUUUAUUCCCUUCGUUAUUUUUUUUUCACAAUUAGCCGUUAUUGCCUAAUUGUGUUCUAAUAUCAACUAUUAGUAAUUAAUUAAUUACUUAAUUUACGGUACUUGAUUAAAACGGGCUUUUAUUUUCGUUCCCGUUUCUGUUUUUUUUUAAUUUCCUUUUAUUCCCUUUUAUUUCACUUUUCAAUUAUUUUAAUUUAAUUUAAUUUAAUUUAAUUAUUCUUAUUAAUUUUAUUUUAUUAAUUUUAUUAAUUUUAUUUCCUUUUACAUUUAUUGUAUUUUAUUGCAUUGAAUUUAAUUUAAUUAUUUUCUAUUAUUUACUUUUUUUCUCCUUUUCUUUUUAAAAUUAUUUCAGUUUUAUUUUCUGCCAUUUUAUUAAUUUUAUUAAUUUCAUUAAUAUUAUUUUUACAUUUUUAUACUAUUUUUAUUUUACUUCUAUUUUCCCUGAUUUUAUUUUAUUAUAUUUUAUU